GGAGCGAUGAUAUUCUCGAACCCUGUUUGUUUUAUAUGCAUUCUUGAUUAGAACACAUGCAUUUCUCGAGAGAGAGAGAGAUUGAACGUGGGAGGGAGAGAAAGUGGCCGUAAGCACUUGGGUCCUCUAUAAUCUCAGUGAUCAUGCGGUAGAGAGAAACGAAAAUGAAAUGAGCAUCGGCCAUGUCUUGGUUGAGCUCGUCUAUGGAAGCGUUCACUCGAGUGUUGAAAGUUGUUGAAGCAUAAUUAUACUCCUCGUUGCACAUCCCGGCAUUUGAGCUUCGACCAAAAGGCGUGCAGCCACCCACUUCGGUUGAGAGCAACACAAAAUUCCGAGCUCCCAAAUUGUACAUCUCCUGCAAAAUAAGAAAAAAAACAGUUGGAGAAUCUAUUGAAGUUUCUUGUGAACAUUUCUCCAAACGGUUGAUGAUCAUAAAAAUCCAUUUAAAUUAACUUCAUUAGUUAGUCGGACCCAGCCUCCAGAGAAGGCACCCAAUUGAUUUGUUAUCCUACUACGGACCCAACCUCUCAUUGUUUUAAAUAUUUUUAUUGUUAGGAGUAUUAUUAUCAAGUCUAUCCUUUUUGUUUAUUUAUGUAGUUCAAAGAAACAUGAUUUUUUAGUUUUAAUCACCUCUUUCAUUUCCUUUUUAUUUCAUUUCAUUUUUUUUCUCUUUCAUUUUUUUUUCCCUCUCUUCCUUUCCCUCCAACCAAAUAGGGUGUUAGUGUUCAUUUCCUCAAUCAAGAAAAAGUUUAAACCUUUCAAUCCCCUUUUUUUUAUCUGAGGAAUUCUUGUAAAAAAUCGAAGCAAAGUAGAUAUAAGCAUAGAUGCUAUUUAAACAACAGAAAACUCAAUUUUGUCUUAAAAGUGGAAAGCGGUACAAGAAGGUUUGUCGUUGAUAUGUUGUCAGUUAAGCCAUCUAAAAGCGUGGAGUAUCUUGUAAAUAUUCAACUGCGAGGGAAAAGGUGAUGGCGUUAAAAUGUACGAUAUUUUUGACACGGCGGCGAUAUUUGUGACCACCUUCUUCCCGACGCCUGCGCUCGACGACUGCCCACAGUUGGAAGACUCAGAAGCAGAAGAGGAAGACAGCCAAGAAGAAGAAAGGGCAAAGGCGAGGUGCAAAUGAAGAAGAGACGAAGGGCUGCAGUGGUGGUACUGGGCGAUCUGGGGCGUAGCCCGCGGAUGCAAUACCAUGCAUUAUCCCUCGCUUGCCAGACUGGCUUGGAGGUUGAUAUAGUUGCUUAUGGAGGUAGUGAUCCCCACCGUGCUCUUUUGGACAAUCCAUCCAUUCAUAUUCACAAAAUGAAUCAAACCUUCCAAUGGGGCUUCCCUAAGGUUUUGCGUUUAUUGAUGCUUCCACUGAAGGCAUUAAUACAGUUUAUGACGCUGCUUUGGUUUGUCUGUGUCAAAAUUCCUUCUCCUGAUGUCUUCAUUGUGCAGAAUCCACCUUCAGUUCCUACUUUGAUUGUUGUGAAAUUUGCUAGCUGGUUGAGGCGUUCUGCUUAUGUAAUUGAUUGGCACAAUUUUGGAUACACUCUGCUUGGCUUGUCUUUAGGGAGAAACCAUGUCUUGGUGAGGAUUUAUCAUUGGUUUGAGAUGCAUUAUGGGAGGAUGGCUCAUGGAUCCUUGUGUGUCACAAAAGCUAUGCAACAUGAAUUGGCUCAGAAUUGGGGGAUAAGAGCAACAGUUCUUUAUGAUCAACCUCCUGAAUUUUUUCGACCAGCUACUCUACACGAAAAGCAUGAGUUGUUCUGCAGACUACAAAAGGAUAUCAAUCAUCCAGUUGGAAUCAGUGAUUGUAUAACUGCAGAUGAUCCAGGUCCUGCUAACGUGGUUGGUAUGACUGAAGGACCAAUAUGCAAGGUGGCUAGUUCUCCUAUAACAUGUACUAGUUUUACGACCCAGAAUAAUGGCAAUAUCUACUUGAAUAGGAACAGGCCAGCCCUCAUCAUAAGCAGUACCAGCUGGACGCCUGACGAGGAUUUCAGUAUGCUUCUAGAAGCAGCAGUGAUGUAUGAUAGGCGUGUGGCAGCAAUCCUAAAUGAACAUGACUCAACUGGAAAUGAGGAAGUCUGGAAGCAUAUGUCCCAAGGAAAAGAGUAUUUGUAUCCUAGACUAUUGUUCAUCAUUACUGGUAAGGGGCCAGAUAGGGAGAAAUAUGAACAGAAGAUUAGGAAGUUACAUCUGAAACGUGUGGCAUUUCGUACAAUGUGGCUAUCAGCUGAGGAUUACCCAUUGCUGCUUGCAGAUUUGGGUGUCUGCUUGCAUACUUCAUCAUCAGGGUUGGAUCUCCCAAUGAAGGUUGUUGAUAUGUUUGGAUGCGGACUACCUGUUUGCGCUGUAUCAUAUUCAUGAAGUAUCAAGGAACUUGUCAAAGUUGAAAAAAAUGGACUACUCUUUGCAUCAUCUUCUGAGCUUGCUGAUGAACUCCUGAUGCUAUUUAAGGGAUUUCCAGACAGUUGUGAUGCCCU